GGACCAGGGCGUCUGCGCCUGCGCGGAGCAAGGGGCGGAGCGGGGUCACACAUCCAGGCCCUGUGCAUGAAACAAAACAGUGAAAACCCGUCUGUGGGAAGCUGACAUUGGGUGGAGAGGGGCCGACAGUCAACAAGAGAACAUGUUCGUAGAGGAGGGUGCCGAGGAGGAAACAGCCCGGGAGCUGAGGGGCUGCUAGAAAGUGCACUUGAGUGGAGACCCGAAGGGGAGCCGAGGGUCGAGCAACGGAACCGCCUUUGAGAUGGUGCAGAUGGCCCGCAGGGUUGGGGGUACAGAACCAAUAGGAUAUGUUCAGGAGACGGGACAAACCACGAGCGUGGCGUGGCCUGAGCCAGCGGACCGGAGAGAGGCCAUCCGAGUCUACAAGGACUCCUGCCCCGCCCCUUGGACCUCCAAAAGUUCUCCCGGAGUAGGGCGCCACCUGGCUGCUGCUGCGCGCACCAUUAGCUGCGUAGGAAAAGGUGUUCCCCUUGCGGUAUUAAUCUGCAUUGUCCCCUAAUCACACGUGUAGUUUAUUUACAAAGCCAGAUGGCAAUGCUUGCCCACCCCGACACCACACCCAUCACCACUUCUACCAGGGCCUCUUCACCCAGCAGGGUGGAGGGCCUCACAGUCUUGGUACCCGCAUUUUGCACCUGCAGGGGCCUGGAGGCUCCAAAACUGUACUUGUACAAGUUCAGGGUCAAACAACUCCUUUCCAAAAAGGGGCAAAUUUGCUCUAAGGUACCCCUCUAUAUGGGGCUUCCCUGUAGCUCAGUCGGUAAAAAAUCUGCCUGUAGUGCAGGAGACCCAGGUUCAAUCCCAGGGUUGGGAGGAGCCCCUGGAGAAGGAAAUGGCAAUCCACUCUAGUAUCCUUGCCUGGAAAAUCUCAUGGACAGAGGAGCCUGGUGGGCUGCGGUCCAUGGGGUCCCAAAAAGUUGGGCCCAACUAAGUGACUUAGUUACCCCUCUAUAUACACUUUGAAUUCAAUGUGAAAAAC
ensembl:lncRNA